AUUGAACGCUGGCGGCAGGCCUAACACAUGCAAGUCGGACGAGUGGCGGACGGGUGAGUAAUGUCUGGGAAACUGCCAGAUGGAGGGGGAUAACUACUGGAAACGGUAGCUAAUACCGCAUACCAUCGGAUGUGCCCAGAUGGGAUUAGCUAGUAGGUGGGGUAACGGCUUACCUAGGCGACGAGCCCUAGCUGGUCUGAGAGGAUGACCAGCCACACUGGAACUGAGACACGGCCCAGACUCCUACGGGAGGCAGCAGUGGGGAAUAUUGCACAAUGGGCGCAAGCCUGAUGCAGCCAUGCCGCGUGUAGGAAGAAGGCCUUCGGGUUGUAAAGUACUUUCAGCGAGGAGACGUUACUCGCAGAAGAAGCACCGGCUAACUCCGUGCCAGCAGCCGCGGUAAUUC
rnacentral:rRNA from 1 species